rnacentral:sRNA from 2 species
AUUCUGCCCAAGCGGGGAAGGAUGAGAAGCUUCGACCAAGGUUCGACUUGAGCGCCAGCGAGAGAGCGUUGCCGCAGGCA